rnacentral:rRNA from 1 species
UGGGGAAUAUUGCACAAUGGGCGCAAGCCUGAUGCAGCCAUGCCGCGUGUGUGAAGAAGGCAUUCGGGUUGUAAAGCACUUUCAGCGGGGAGGAAGGCGAUAAGGUUAAUAACCUUGUCGACUGACGUUACCCGCAGAAGAAGCACCGGCUAACUCCGUGCCAGCAGCCGCGGUAAUACGGAGGGUGCAAGCGUUAAUCGGAAUUACUGGGCGUAAAGCGCACGCAGGCGGUCUGUCAAGUCGGAUGUGAAAUCCCCGGGCUUAACCUGGGAACUGCAUUCGAAACUGGCAGGCUAGAGUCUUGUAGAGGGGGGUAGAAUUCCAGGUGUAGCGGUGAAAUGCGUAGAGAUCUGGAGGAAUACCGGUGGCGAAGGCGGCCCCCUGGACAAAGACUGACGCUCAGGUGCGAAAGCGUGGGGAGCAAACAGG